AUUUUAUUAGUUUAUUUUUUAAAAAUGUUAAUUUGUCAAAUUAAAGAAGGAAAUUUAUUUCCAUAAAAUU
rnacentral:tRNA from 1 species